rnacentral:rRNA from 1 species
GACGAACGCUGGCGGCGUGCUUAACACAUGCAAGUCGAACGGAAAGGCCCUGCUUUUGUGGGGUGCUCGAGUGGCGAACGGGUGAGUAACACGUGAGUAACCUGCCCUUGACUGUGGGAUAACUUCAGGAAACUGGGGCUAAUACCGGAUAGGAGCUAAUGCUGCAUGGGGGGGGUUGGAAAGUUUCGGCGGUUGGGGAUGGACGCGCGGCUUAUCAGCUUGUUGGUGGGGUAGUGGCUGACCAAGGCUUUGACGGGUAGCCGGCCUGAGAGGGUGACCGGCCACAUUGGGACUGAGAUACGGCCCAGACUCCUACGGGAGGCAGCAGUGGGGAAUAUUGCACAAUGGGCGGAAGCCUGAUGCAGCAACGCCGCGUGCGGGAUGACGGCCUUCGGGUUGUAAACCGCUUUCGCCUGUGACGAAGAGUGAGUGACGGUAACGGGUAAAGAAGCACCGGCUAACUACGUG